GAUAAUUAAUGAAAGUUGCGUGCUUGCACAAUGCUGGAUUUGGUUUGAUUUGGAUUUUCCCUUUAGUGGCAGACGGGUGAGUAACACGUGGGUAAUCUACCUCAGAGACUGGGAUAACGUUCGGAAACGAUCGCUAAUACCGGAUGAUUCAUAUCUAGAUAACUAGAUAUGCUAAAAGGAGCUUCGGCUUCACUUUGAGAUGAGCUUGCGGUGUAUUAGCUAGUUGGUGAGGUAAUGGCUCACCAAGGCAACGAUGCAUAUCCGAGCUGAGAGGCUGAUCGGACACACUGGGACUGAGACACGGCCCAGACUCCUACGGGAGACAGCAGUUAGGAAUAUUCGUCAAUGGAGGAAACUCUGAACGAGCAAUGCCGCGUGAGUGAUGAAGGUCCUUUGGAUUGUAAAACUCUGUUGUAAAGGAAGAAACCUUACUAUAGGUAAUGAUAGUAAGUUGACGGUACUUUGCCAGAAAGCCCCGGCUAACUACGUGCCAGCAGCCGCGGUAA
rnacentral:rRNA from 1 species